rnacentral:tRNA from 1 species
GCCUGGGUGGCUCAGUCGGUUGAGCGUCCGACUUUGGCUCAGGUCAUGAUCUCACAGUUUGUGGGUUCAAGCCCCGCAUCAGGCU